GAGUGAUGUAUGCACAGGGGAUAGUAGAUUUGUUUCCCUAUCUAGAAGACCCAUACUCACAACAUGGAUAUGAACAUUACUACGAUCCGGAGAGUGGUUCCGGAUACCUUGCAUGGCGAUUGAAGACCAUACAAAGAAAAACAGCAGAGGAAAGAGGUGCCUCAGUCAGCAAAUCUCCUAAAGUUGGUGGGCCAGGCCGUGGUCGUCAGCCCUUCACCUAUGACAGAGAGCCAUCUGAUGAGGAUGUGGAAGCAGCUAUUGCUGUUUUGAGACACUCUGCUGAUGAAAACACUGUCCGUGAGAAGAUGAAAAUGACCUUCGUAUAUCGGCAAGC